rfam:Triticum aestivum genome assembly, contig: Triticum_aestivum_CS42_TGACv1_scaffold_486459_6AS
GACCUACUCCCUUCGUCCCGAAUACUUGUCAUCAAAAUGAAUAAAAGGUGAUGUAUCUAGAUGUAUAUUAGUUCUAGAUACAUCUUUUUUUAUUCAUUUUAAUGACAAGUAUUUUCGGACGAAGGAAGUACUAG